UUUUAGCGGAAGCUGAGGACCACAGCGAAAGCGGAAACGGACAGAAUUGCAAGGUUUGAGCGUGUGAUGUCACAUCCUACAAGGAAAAAGGCUGUGCAGAGAUCUGGCCGGCUUCCCAGCCCAGCGCAGCCUCCUGGGGCUGAUUCGGCCAAUGUUCCCACCCAGGAAUCCUGGACGUCUGACAGGAAACAGGCCCAACUCUCCCGAGACCGCUGAAAACCUUGAUUGCGCGACAGGGUUUCAACUGCUCGGUGGCUGCGCAGACGUUUGUGGUUUGGAACGAACAUCCUGUGACAACGUACAACGUCAGGCCAAGGUUUUCCCCACACUAAAAGAAAUGUCUUUUUCU